UACGGGGGGGGUAAGCGUUGUUCGGAAUUACUGGGCGUAAAGGGCUCGUAGGCGGCCAACUAAGUCAGACGUGAAAUCCCUCAGCUUAACUGGGGAACUGCGUCUGAUACUGGAUGGCUUGGAUUCGGGAGAGGAAUGCGGAAUUCCAGGUGUAGCGGUGAAAUGCGUAGAUAUCUGGAGGAACACCGGUGGCGAAGGCGGCUCACUGGCCCGAUACUGACGCUGAGGCACGAAAGCGUGGGGAGCAAACAGG
rnacentral:rRNA from 1 species